UACGGGGGGGGCAAGCGUUGUUCGGAAUUACUGGGCGUAAAGGGCGCGUAGGCGGUCCGCUAAGUUGGAUGUGAAAACUCUGGGCUUAACCCAGAGCCUGCAUUCAAAACUGACGGGCUAGAGUUCUGGAGGGGGUAGCGGAAUUCCUGGUGUAGCGGUGAAAUGCGUAGAUAUCAGGAGGAACACCGGUGGCGAAGGCGGCUACCUGGACAGAAACUGACGCUGAGUGCGCGAAAGCGUGGGGAGCGAACAGG
rnacentral:rRNA from 1 species